rnacentral:rRNA from 1 species
UACGGAGGGUGCAAGCGUUAUCCGGAUUCACUGGGUUUAAAGGGUGCGUAGGUGGGUUCGUAAGUCAGUGGUGAAAUCUCCGAGCUUAACUUGGAAACUGCCAUUGAUACUAUGAGUCUUGAAUAUUGUGGAGGUCAGCGGAAUAUGUCAUGUAGCGGUGAAAUGCUUAGAUAUGACAUAGAACACCAAUUGCGAAGGCAGCUGGCUACGCAUAUAUUGACACUGAGGCACGAAAGCGUGGGGAUCAAACAGG